GGCUUGUUGGUCUAGUGGCAUGAUUCUCGCUUUGGGUGCGAGAGGUCCCGGGUUCGAUUCCCGGACGAGCCC
rnacentral:tRNA from 1 species